GAUGAACGCUGGCGGCGUGCUUAACACAUGCAAGUCGAACGGAAAGGCUCCUGCUUGCAGGGGUACUCGAGUGGCGAACGGGUGAGUAACACGUGGGUGAUCUGCCCUGCACUUCGGGAUAAGCCUGGGAAACUGGGUCUAAUACCGGAUAGGACGAUGGUUUGGAUGCCAUUGUGGAAAGUUUUUCGGUGUGGGGUGAGCUCGCGGCCUAUCAACUUGUUGGUGGGGUAAUGGCCUACCAAGGCGUCGACGGGUAGCCGGCCUGAGAGGGUGUACGGCCACAUUGGGACUGAGAUACGGCCCAGACUCCUACGGGAGGCAGCAGUGGGGAAUAUUGCACAAUGGGCGCAAGCCUGAUGCAGCGACGCCGCGUGGGGGAUGACGGCCUUCGGGUUGUAAACUCCUUUCGCUAGGGACGAAGCGCAAGUGACGGUACCUGGAGAAGAAGCACCGGCUAACUACGUG
rnacentral:rRNA from 1 species